rnacentral:rRNA from 1 species
AGCUUGCUCCCUGAUGUUAGCGGCGGACGGGUGAGUAACACGUGGGUAACCUGCCUGUAAGACUGGGAUAACUCCGGGAAACCGGGGCUAAUACCGGAUGCUUGUUUGAACCGCAUGGUUCAAACAUAAAAGGUGGCUUCGGCUACCACUUACAGAUGGACCCGCGGCGCAUUAGCUAGUUGGUGAGGUAAUGGCUCACCAAGGCGACGAUGCGUAGCCGACCUGAGAGGGUGAUCGGCCACACUGGGACUGAGACACGGCCCAGACUCCUACGGGAGGCAGCAGUAGGGAAUCUUCCGCAAUGGACGAAAGUCUGACGGAGCAACGCCGCGUGAGUGAUGAAGGUUUUCGGAUCGUAAAGCUCUGUUGUUAGGGAAGAACAAGUACCGUUCGAAUAGGGCGGUACCUUGACGGUACCUAACCAGAAAGCCACGGCUAACUACGUGCCAGCAGCCGCGGUAAUACGUAGGUGGCAAGCGUUGUCCGGAAUUAUUGGGCGUAAAGGGCUCGCAGGCGGUUUCUUAAGUCUGAUGUGAAAGCCCCCGGCUCAACCGGGGAGGGUCAUUGGAAACUGGGGAACUUGAGUGCAGAAGAGGAGAGUGGAAUUCCACGUGUAGCGGUGAAAUGCGUAGAGAUGUGGAGGAACACCAGUGGCGAAGGCGACUCUCUGGUCUGUAACUGACGCUGAGGAGCGAAAGCGUGGGGAGCGAACAGGAUUAGAUACCCUGGUAGUCCACGCCGUAAACGAUGAGUGCUAAGUGUUAGGGGGUUUCCGCCCCUUAGUGCUGCAGCUAACGCAUUAAGCACUCCGCCUGGGGAGUACGGUCGCAAGACUGAAACUCAAAGGAAUUGACGGGGGCCCCGCACAAGCGGUGGAGCAUGUGGUUUAAUUCAAAGCAACGCGAAGAAUUGACGGGGGCCCCGCACAAGCGGUGGAGCAUGUGGUUUAAUUCAAAGCAACGCGAAGAAGGCAGAGUGAACAGGUGGGUGCAUGGGUUGUCCGUCAGCUUCGUGGUCCUGGAAAUGUUGGGGUUAAAUUCCCGCCAACCAAGCGCCAACCCCUUGAAUCUUAAUUUGCCCAGCAUUUCCGUUUGGGGCACCUCCUAAGGGUGAACUGGCCGGUUGGACAAAACCCGGAAGGAAAAGGUGAUGACGUCAAAUCAUCAUGCCCCUUAUGACCUGGGCUACACACGUGCUACAAUGGACAGAACAAAGGGCAGCGAAACCGCGAGGUUAAGCCAAUCCCACAAAUCUGUUCUCAGUUCGGAUCGCAGUCUGCAACUCGACUGCGUGAAGCUGGAAUCGCUAGUAAUCGCGGAUCAGCAUGCCGCGGUGAAUACGUUCCCGGGCCUUGUACACAUCGCCCGUCACACCACGAGAGUUUGUAACCCCGA